rnacentral:rRNA from 1 species
GACGAACGCUGGCGGCGUGCUUAACACAUGCAAGUCGAACGGGCCCGCUCUCUUUUUUGGGGGUGGGUUGAGUGGCGAACGGGUGAGUAUCACGUGAGUAACCUGCCCCCUGCUCCUGGAUAACUGCUUGAAAGGGCGGCUAAUACGGGGUGUGCCGGCUGGUCCGCAUGGGCCUGGUCGGGAUAGUUUCAUUUUCGGGGGUUUCGGUGGGGGAUGGGCUCGCGGCCUAUCAGCUUGUUGGUGGGGUGAUGGCCCACCAAGGCGGUGACGGGUAGCCGGCCUGAGAGGGUGGGCGGCCACACUGGGACUGAGACACGGCCCAGACUCCUGCGGGAGGCAGCAGUGGGGGGUAUUGCACAAUGGGCGGAAGCCUGAUGCAGCGACGUCGCGUGAGGGAUGGAGGCCUUCGGGUUGUGAACCUCUUUCUCCGGUGGUGAAGGCCCUGUCCGUUGCGGCGGGGUUGACGGUAGCCGGGUAUGAAGCGCCGGCUAACUACGUG